GCUCGGGAUACAUAGGCUAACUAUUUAGCAGAGGGAAGAAGGAAGAACCAGAAAAAGGAGGAGGCCAGGGCACAGUCCUUAAAAGGGAGAAAAUAAGCCCAGAAAAGUGAUAAAGGAUUAGACUAAAAUGGACCAUGAGUGACAUGCUUUAUAUUUCUCCUGAAAUAGGCAACACAGCCCACCUAAGAAGGCCCCACAAAAGCUCAGAGUGUGCCAGGUGGUGCAGUGUACAGUACA